rnacentral:tRNA from 1 species
GGGAAGGUGGCUCAAUGGUAGAGUACUUGCCUCUCAUGCAUGAGCACUGGGUUCAAUUCCCCAGUACCA